UCAUGCAGUGAACGCGUAGCAUACUGAGUGGCAAACGGGUGAGUAUAAUGUGGGUAUCUGCCUUUUGGUUUGGAAUAACAUGAGGAAACUUGUGCUAAUACCGGAUAAGCCUUCACAGGGAAAGUUUUAUACGCCGAAAGAUGAGCCCGCACUUGAUUAGUUUGUUGGUGAGGUAAUGGCUCACCAAGACAAUUAUCAAUAGCUGGUCUGAGAGGACGAUCAGCCACAUUGGGACUGAGACACGGCCCAGACUCCUACGGGAGGCAGCAGUAAGGAAUCUUGCACAAUGGGGGAAACCCUGAUGCAGCGAUGCCGCGUGAGUGAAGAAGGCCCUUGGGUUGUAAAACUCUUUCGUCGGGGAAGAAAAUGACUGUACCCGAAUAAGAAGGUCCGGCUAACUUCGUGCCAGCAGCCGCGGUAAUACGAAGGGACCUAGCGUAGUUCGGAAUUACUGGGCUUAAAGAGCUCGUAGGUGGUUAAAAAAGUUGAUGGUGAAAUCCCAAGGCUCAACCUUGGAACUGCCAUCAAAACUUUUUAGCUAGAGUGUGAUAGAGGAAAGUGGAAUUACUAGUGUAGAGGUGAAAUUCGUAGAUAUUAGAAAGAACACCAAAUGCGAAGGCAACUUUCUGGGUCACUACUGACACUGAGGAGCGAAAGCAUGGGUAGCGAAGAGGAAUAAAUAUCCUCGCUAGUCAUGCCGUAAAGAUGUGUGCUGACGUGGGAACAUUUUUUCGAGUC
rnacentral:rRNA from 1 species